rnacentral:lncRNA from 1 species
ACAGGCUGAAUCCCCCGCAGGCAGUAACCAUGGCUAGGGAAAAACAGGCAGCCGCGAGGACAGUUCCGGAGGAGACAACACCAGGCUCCCGUAGGGAAACUUUUGGGAAUGGAGAUGGGGGAUUCCAUCCUUUGCGUGCAGACCCAAGACUUCGAUGGUAGCUCGGACAAGUCUGUCAUUGUUUUUGUCCUGGGAAAUGACACACGAAGUGCUGUAAUUAGACACCUAAGAAACGAUUACUCUGGAGUGUGCGCGAACCGAAUCUGGGGGGCCGGUGGGGAGCAGGUAAGGGGCUGAAAGGCACCGUCUCCUCCAGCUCUGUCGGAAGCCUAAAGCCCUCUGCUUCUGGGCGCCCUUAACAAACGCGCCAGACAGGUGAUGUCUCCGAGGACGAGCAGGAGCCCCCCUUCGCGAUCUGCACCAGAAGCCUCGGGGAGCCGGGGCCACGGCGCGGCGGUGGCGCAGUU